CCUUUGUGACAUACCUAUAACUGUUGCUUCGGCGGGUAGGGUCUCCGUGACCCUCCCGGCCUCCCGCCCCCGGGCGGGUCGGCGCCCGCCGGAGGAUAACCAAACUCUGAUUUAACGACGUUUCUUCUGAGUGGUACAAGCAAAUAAUCAAAACUUUUAACAACGGAUCUCUUGGUUCUGGCAUCGAUGAAGAACGCAGCGAAAUGCGAUAAGUAAUGUGAAUUGCAGAAUUCAGUGAAUCAUCGAAUCUUUGAACGCACAUUGCGCCCGCCAGCAUUCUGGCGGGCAUGCCUGUUCGAGCGUCAUUUCAACCCUCAAGCUCUGCUUGGUGUUGGGGCCCUACAGCUGAUGUAGGCCCUCAAAGGUAGUGGCGGACCCUCCCGGAGCCUCCUUUGCGUAGUAACUUUACGUCUCGCACUGGGAUCCGGAGGGACUCUUGCCGUAAAACCCCCAAUUUUCCAAAGGUUGACCUCGGAUCAGGUAGGAAUACCCGCUGAACUUAAGCAUAUCAAUAAGCGGAGGA
rnacentral:rRNA from 1 species